AUUUCCACAUGGCCUGGUUAGGGCUACCCAUAUCGGUGGUGACAGCAAGCACAUGUAGCCCUAUGGAUGCUGCUCUCUCUAUUAAUUCUCGAGUUGUGUUUCCAGCCAACAUAAACACACAAGCAUGUGUUGCUACUCCUGUGUGACCUGGCAAAGUGACAUCACCAUAGAGUUUGCCUGUCAGCAUGUGCAGCUCAACACUUGGAGUGAUUGCCAUUUCAUCCAAGGACAGCACACACUCCCUUUCAAGGGUUCUGAUCGCUGGCAAGGGAAUCUGCAAUUCCUGUAGGGUCUUGUAACCAGUUGGACCGG